rnacentral:rRNA from 1 species
UACGUAGGGUGCGAGCGUUAAUCGGAAUUACUGGGCGUAAAGCGUGCGCAGGCGGUUUUGUAAGCCAGAUGUGAAAUCCCCGGGCUCAACCUGGGAAUGGCAUUUGGGACUGCAUCGCUGGAGUGCGGCAGAGGGGGAUGGAAUUCCGCGUGUAGCAGUGAAAUGCGUAGAUAUGCGGAGGAACACCGAUGGCGAAGGCAAUCCCCUGGGCCUGCACUGACGCUCAUGCACGAAAGCGUGGGGAGCAAACAGG